rnacentral:rRNA from 1 species
GGGGAUAAUGUCCCAUAGACUACAGAUACUGGAAUGUUCUGUAGUUCAAAGAUUUAUCGCCACAGGAUGGGUCUGCGGCCGAUUAGGUAGUUGUUGGGGUAAAGGCCCAACAAGCCUUUGAUCGGUACGGGUUGUGGGAGCAAGAGCCCGGAGAUGGAUUCUGAGACACGAAUCCAGGCCCUACGGGGCGCAGCAGGCGCGAAAACUUUACAGUGCGGGAAACCGUGAUAAGGGAACUCCGAGUGUCCGUAAAUUCGGACUGUCCGUAUGUUUAAAAAGCAUACGAAGAAAGGGCCGGGCAAGACCGGUGCCAGCCGCCGCGGUAAUACCGGCGGCUCGAGUGGUGGCCACUAUUACUGGGCUUAAAGCGUUCGUAGCUUGGUUGUUAAGUCUCUUGGGAAAUCUAUCGGCUUAACCGAUAGGCGUCCAGGGGAUACUGGCAAUCUAGGGACCGGGAGAGGUGAGGGGUACUUCAGGGGUAGGAGUGAAAUCCUGUAAUCCCUGGGGGACCACCUGUGGCGAAGGCGCCUCACCAGAACGGCUCCGACAGUGAGGGACGAAAGCUGGGGGAGCAAACCGGAUUAGAUACCCGGGUAGUCCCAGCCGUAAACGAUGCACGUUAGGUGUAUCGAUGACCACGAGUCAUCGAGGUGCCGAAGGGAAACCGUGAAACGUGCCGCCUGGGAAGUACGGUCGCAAGGCUGAAACUUAAAGGAAUUGGCGGG